rnacentral:rRNA from 1 species
UAGGGCGAAAUCCAUUAAUCCCGGGAGGACCACCUGUGGCGAAGGCGCUCGGCUGGAACGCGCCCGACGGUGAGGGGCGAAAGCCGGGGGAGCGAACCGGAUUAGAUACCCGGGUAGUCCCGGCUGUAAACGAUGCGGGCUAGGUGUUGGGCGGGCGUGAGGGCCCGCCCCAGGUGCCGCAGGGAAGCCGUUAAGCCCGCCGCCUGGGGAGUACGGCCGCAAGGCUGAAACUUAAAGGAAUUGGCGGGGGAGCACCACAAGGGGUGGAGCCUGCGGCUUAAUUGGAGUCAACGCCGGGAACCUCCACCGGGGGCGACAGCAGGAUGACGCCCAGGCUGAAGGCCUUGGCCGACACGCUGAGGGGAGGUGCAUGGCCGUCGCCAGCUCGUGCCGUGAGGUGUCCUGUUAAGUCAGGCAACGAGCGAGACCCCCGCCCCUAGUUGCUACCCCAGGGGAGACCCUGGGGGCACACUAGGGGGGCUGCCGCCGCUAAGGCGGAGGAAGGAGGGGGCAACGGCAGGUCAGCAUGCCCCUAAACCCCCGGGCUGCACGCGGGCUACAAUGGCGGGGACAGCGGGUUCCGACCCCGUAAGGGGAAGGCAAUCCCUGAAACCCCGCCUCAGUUGGGAUCGAGGGCUGCAACUCGCCCUCGUGAACGUGGAAUCCCUAGUAACCGCGCGUCAUCAUCGCGCGGUGAAUAC